rfam:Ectocarpus siliculosus strain Ec 32, whole genome shotgun sequence assembly, chromosome LG30
GGGGGUAUAGCUCAGUGGUUAGAGUGUUCCGUUUGCAUCGGAAAUGUCGGGGGUUCAAAUCCCCCUUCCUCCA